GUGGAGAAGACGAUGACGUGUCGCCUCAUGAGCCUUUAGAUCCAACGCGCGCGUUUUAAUCGUGGCCAUCCAUGUUAUUUUGUCCUUUAGUGAAAUAUGACCAAUUGAUACAAGGUCCACAUGAAUUAUUUUAUUAAAUUGUUAUUUCGUUUUGUCACGCGCUGGAUUUAAUUAAUUGUUUGGACUGGGCCUUUGCCAUUUACUGUUGACACCUCCCUUUCCUGGCCCAUCAGCACCACUCCACUCCCAUUUUCAUUUUCU
rnacentral:lncRNA from 1 species